rnacentral:rRNA from 1 species
AUUGAACGCUGGCGGCAGGCUUAACACAUGCAAGUCGAGCGGAGAUGAGGUGCUUGCACCUUAUCUUAGCGGCGGACGGGUGAGUAAUGCUUAGGAAUCUGCCUAUUAGUGGGGGACAACAUUCCGAAAGGAAUGCUAAUACCGCAUACGUCCUACGGGAGAAAGCAGGGGAUCUUCGGACCGUGCGCUAAUAGAUGAGCCUAAGUCGGAUUAGCUAGUUGGUGGGGUAAAGGCCUACCAAGGCGACGAUCUGUAGCGGGUCUGAGAGGAUGAUCCGCCACACUGGGACUGAGACACGGCCCAGACUCCUACGGGAGGCAGCAGUGGGGAAUAUUGGACAAUGGGGGGAACCCUGAUCCAGCCAUGCCGCGUGUGUGAAGAAGGCCUUAUGGUUGUAAAGCACUUUAAGUGAGGAGGAGGCUACUGAGACUAAUACUCUUGGAUAGUGGACGUUACUCGCAGAAUAAGCACCGGCUAACUCUGUGCCAGCCGCCGCGGUAAGAC